rnacentral:rRNA from 1 species
ACCAAGGCGACGAUGGAUAGCCGGCCUGAGAGGGUGACCGGCCACACUGGGACUGAGACACGGCCCAGACUCCUACGGGAGUGCAGCAGCUAAGAAUCUUCCGCAAUGGGCGAAAGCCUGACCGAGCGACGCCGCGUGGACGAAGAAGGCCGGAAGGUUGUAAAGUCCUUUUCUCGGAUGCAUGAAUAACCUAUGGAGGGAAUGCCGUAGGGAUGACAUUAGUUGAGGAAUAAUCCCCGGCUAAUUACGUGCCAGCAGUCGCGGUAACUCGUAAGGGGCGAGCGUCGUUCGGAAUUAUUGGGCGUAAAGGGCGCGUAGGCGGCCUGGCAAGCCUGGUGUGACAGGCCACCGCUUAACGGUGGGAGUGCGCUGGGAACUGCCUGGCUAGAGUUUCGGAGGGGAAGCUGGCAUUCCUGGUGUAGGGGUGAAAUCUGUAGAUAUCAGGAAGAACACCUGUGGCGAAGGCGAGCUUCUGGCCAGAAACUGACGCUGACGCGCGAAAGCGUGGGGAGCGAACAGGAUUCGAUGCCCUGGUAGUCCACGCUGUAAACGAUGUGCAUUAGUUGUUGGCUGUUAUAACGCUCAGUGCCGAAGCGUACGCCGAUAAGUGCACCGCAUGGGGAGUAUGCUCGCAAGGGUGAAACUCAAUAGGAAUUGACGGGGGCCCGCACAAACGAUGGACCAUGUGGUUUAAUUCGAUGAUACGCGAGGAACCUUACCAGGGCUUGACAUAUAGCGGACGGAUGCAGAGACGUAGCUUCCAUUCGGGGCUGCUAUACCGGUGCUGCAUGGCUGUCGUCAGCUCGUGCUGUGAGUUGUUGGGUUAAGUCCCGCAACGAGCGCAACCCCUGCUGUCUGUUACCAUCACGUAAAGGUGGGGACUCAGGCGGUACUGCCGGUGACAAACCGGAGGAAGGUGGGGAAGACGUCAAGUCAUCAUGGCCCUUAUGUCCUGGGCUACACACG